GGCCCAGUACAAGUAUAACUCCAGAAAACAAUAAUAUAAAUUCUAAACCUAGCAAAAAUAGACCAGGCUGCAAAAGCUCGAAAGAGGCCUAGUUAGUCGAACAACCUAACCCUAAUAAACCCAUGAUAACCGGAUACCCAAGCAAAAGCCUAAUGUUAUGGGCUUCGACCCACAACCAAGGGACUCGGGAGGAAGAGAAGCAUCACCGUUAUCUAAACCAGCCACUUGAGGAAGACAAAACUGCUAGAUGAAACACAAGGGUGGCCAUUCCCUAGCUGCAACAACCUCAAGGCGAUAUAUGGACCCAAAAGCGAACCAAACCAAGGUAAAGGAGAUUUAGAUAAAGCUUGAAGGAAACACACGGAUCAGUUCAAAGAGGCGAUACAAUAGAUCUCAAAAGCCUAUAAGCUAAAGGGUUGGCCAUAGAUAGCGUAGUCCACUCAGAGGGACAGAAAAACCACAGAACUGACCAAAAAAGAGGUAAGUGUCUUAGAUACAUAAGAGAGCCAAGGAGAGAAAAAUUCUCUCUCUUAAACUUAGAGUGAGAGAUUUUUGAAAAACAACUGCCAACUUGAUGUAUCAAACAUUAAAGCCUUCUAAUGUUUCAA
rnacentral:misc_RNA from 1 species